UUCGCUGACGAGUGGCGGACGGGUGAGUAAUGUCUGGGAAACUGCCUGAUGGAGGGGGAUAACUACUGGAAACGGUAGCUAAUACCGCAUAACGUCGCAAGACCAAAGAGGGGGACCUUCGGACCUCUUGCCAUCGGAUGUGCCCAGAUGGGAUUAGCUAGUAGGUGGGGUAACGGCUCACCUAGGCGACGAUCCCUAGCUGGUCUGAGAGGAUGACCAGCCACACUGGAACUGAGACACGGUCCAGACU
rnacentral:rRNA from 1 species